rnacentral:rRNA from 1 species
UACAGAGACUGCAAGCGUUAUUCGGAUUCACUGGGCGUAAAGGGUGCGCAGGCGGUCGGGUGUGUCAGAUGUGAAAUCCCGAGGCUCAACCUCGGAACUGCGUCUGAAACUACUCGACUAGAGUACUGGAGAGGGUAACGGAAUUCACGGUGUAGCAGUGAAAUGCGUAGAUAUCGUGAGGAACACCAGAGGCGAAGGCGGUUACCUGGACAGUUACUGACGCUCAGGCACGAAAGCAUGGGGAGCAAAAGGGAUUAGAUACCCCUGUAGUCCAUGCCCUAAACGGUGCACACUAGGUCUUAGCGGAUUCGACCCCACUAGGGCCCAAGCUAACGCGUUAAGUGUGCCGCCUGAGGACUACGGUCGCAAGACUAAA